rnacentral:rRNA from 1 species
UACGUAUGGUGCAAGCGUUAUCCGGAUUUACUGGGUGUAAAGGGAGCGCAGGCGGAAGGCUAAGUCUGAUGUGAAAGGCUGGGGCUCAACCCCGGGACUGCAUUGGAAACUGCCCGUCUUGAGUGCCGGAGAGGUAAGCGGAAUUCCUAGUGUAGCGGUGAAAUGCGUAGAUAUUAGGAGGAACACCAGUUGCGAAGGCGGCUCUCUGGACUGUAACUGACGCUGAGGCUCGAAGGCCAGGGGAGCGAAAGGG